UAUCAUGACCUCAAGACUGACUUGAACAGAACAGAAAGACAUGUAUUGAAAGAGAUGGGAUUUGUUUGUCAUGUUGAACAUCCUCAUAAAUUCAUAUCUAACUACCUUGCCAUUCUUGAAACACCUCCAGAACUGAGGCAGGAAGCUUGGAAUCUAGCAAAUGAUAGGCAUAGGGAAUGAGGCAGGAUGUAAUUCCUUACAAAGAUACGCUUUCUGCAUUGACAAGGAUAGCACAUGAGGAAGGCAUUCGAGGAUUGUACAUGAAAAGGAGGCUGGAUGAGAUAAGAUUUCAGCAAUACAGCCGAACCUUUAUUCAAUCAUGGAUCCUGCAAGGUAAGUGACAUAUUUUACUAUUAUAACAUAAUGUGAUGCACUUCAGUGAAUGAAUAUGAUGACACAUAGGGUUAUGGAUAUCUUGUGGAUUUUUUAAUAAUGUAUGUCAAUAUCUGUGACAUUUGUAUUUAGGCAAUUUCUCUGUUUAUGGACCUUAGUGGUGGAAAAAACAAAUAGCAAAUGUUAUGGUGGGAAAGUGGUUAAAGUGAUACCCUAAGAAGUUGCUAGCUACUUAACUGUAACUAUGCAUGUUUAUCUUCAAAUUAAAACAAGGCCAUGCAGGGCAUUGGGCCUGCUAUCACAAAUGACAAUCCAGUCGAUUGCAAAGUUAUAAAAUCUGGAACUCUCUCUCUAAAUAGAAGAUCAGAGUUUUAUUGAAUCAAAAAAAUGAAUUGAUACAAGCAACUAAUCCCAAUACAGUAAGGCUAUUCUAUAUAUACACGUCAAAGACUAAGUCCCUAAAAAUCAGUAAAUCAGUUACUAACUAUGUUAACUGUACAAUAGUGUUUCAUUAUAUACAUGACAGUCUAAUUAUUACAAGCCACGUGUAUCGUAAUCUCCAAAGCUAUGUAUGAAGACUUCAUGAUAAGGUAUUGCCUCAAUGGUUUCUAACACAUCCCUGCAAGCCCACUGGUGCUUUUGCUGCACGCUUGCUCCACAAUUGUUUAUUGUUGUGGCUGUCCUUGUCUGCUAGUGAUGAUGCUACUGUGCUUGUACUAGCAUCAGUAUAGCUACCAACUAGCGUGUGUGCUGUCCUUGACAUGAUUGUGUGAUUUAAAAAAAAAAAAAAUUAUUUGGAUACCAAAGUCCUUUGACUAGCUAUGACAAUUAUCAAUUUAAAGAAAUGAUUUUUAACAUGUCUCAAAUUGACUAGACUUUACAGAGUCCAUGAUAAUUUAGGGUAUAAUGAAGGAGCGAGGAAUAUUUUGGCAACUGUCAUGUUCAAUACCAGCUCUCUUUCUUCUCUUCUUUUUUUACCUCCUAGUGGAAUUUUAUAUAUACUAACUCUUGGUUUCCCUUGAAACAAUGUUAUCAUAAUUGAAUAAAUGAAACUUCCUUAUCUUUUUCCAAGUUUGGCAUGUCUCAAAUUGACUAGACUUUACGAAGUCCAUGAUAAUUUAGGGUAUGAUGAAGGAGCGAGGAAUAUUUUGGCAACUAUCAUGCUCAAUACCAGCUCUCUUUCUUCUCUUCUUUUUUUCUCUUGGUUUCCCUUGAAACAACAUUAUCAUAAUUGAAUAAAUGAAACUUCCUUAUCUUUUUCCAAGUUUGGCAUGUCUCAAAUUGAAUAGACUUUAUGGAGUCCAUGAUAAUUUAGGGUAUGAUGAAGAAGCGAGGAAUAUUUUGGCAACUGUCAUGUUCAAUACCAGCUCUCUUUCUUCUCUUCUUUUUUUACCUCCUAGUGGAAUUUCAUAUAUACUAGCUCUUGGUUUCCCUUGAAACAGUGUUGUCAUAAUUGAAUAAAUGAAACUUCCUUAUCUUUUUCCAAG